rnacentral:rRNA from 1 species
AUGUUGACCUCGGAUCAGGUAGGAAUACCCGCUGAACUUAACCA